rnacentral:rRNA from 1 species
GACGUAGGGUCCAAGCGUUGUCCGGAUUUACUGGGCGUAAAGCGCGCGUAGGCGGUCUGUUAAGUGCACAAGUGAAAGCUCCGGGCUCAACUCGGAAAUUGCUUUGCAUACUGGCAGGCUGGAGGGACGCAGAGGUCUGUGGAAUUCCUGGUGUAACGGUGAAAUGUGUUGAUAUCAGGAGGAACACCCAUGGCGAAGGCAGCAGACUGGGCGUUUCCUGACGCUGAGGCGCGAUAGCGUGGGGAGCAAACGGG